rnacentral:rRNA from 1 species
GGUUAAAAAGCUCGUAGUUGGAUUUCUGUUGAGGGCAGCCGGUCCGCACUCGGUGCGUGUAUCUGGUUUGACCUCGGCAUCCUCUCAAAAUACGUUUCUGCGCUUGAUUGCGUGGAGCGGAGUUUGAGACUUUUACUUUGAGGAAAUUAGAGUGUUCACGGCAGGCAAUCGCCUUGAAUAUAUUAGCAUGGAAUAAUAAUAUAGGAUCUUGGUUCUAUUUUGUUGGUUUCUAGAGCUAAGAUAAUGAUUAAUAGGGACAAUUGGGGGCAUUCGUAUUAGCGCGUCAGAGGUGGAAUUCUUGGAUUGCGUUACGACGAACUACUGCGAAAGCAUUUGCCAAGGAUGUUUUCAUUGAUCAAGAACGAAAGUAAGGGGAUCGAAGACGAUUAGAUACCGUCGUAGUCUUUACCAUAAACUAUGCCAACUAGAGAUGGGGUGUCGUUCUUUUCUGACUCCACUCCGCCACCUUAUGAGAAAAUCAAAGUCUUUGGGGCUCCGGGGG